GUCAAGGUGCCGGAGUGGUUAACGGGUUCGCCUGCUAUUCUGACUACAACAUAUGUUGUAGUAAGAUCUGUUCAGCGGAUGUCUUCGGACGCGCAGGUUCGAAUCCUGUCCUUGACG